rnacentral:rRNA from 1 species
AGUGAACGCUGGCGGUAGGCCUAACACAUGCAAGUCGAACGGCAGCACAGUAAGAGCUUGCUCUUACGGGUGGCGAGUGGCGGACGGGUGAGGAAUACAUCGGAAUCUACUUUUUCGUGGGGGAUAACGUAGGGAAACUUACGCUAAUACCGCAUACGACCUACGGGUGAAAGCAGGGGAUCUUCGGACCUUGCGCGAUUGAAUGAGCCGAUGUCGGAUUAGCUAGUUGGCGGGGUAAAGGCCCACCAAGGCGACGAUCCGUAGCUGGUCUGAGAGGAUGAUCAGCCACACUGGAACUGAGACACGGUCCAGACUCCUACGGGAGGCAGCAGUGGGGAAUAUUGGACAAUGGGCGCAAGCCUGAUACAGCCAUACCGCGUGGGUGAAGAAGGCCUUCGGGUUGUAAAGCCCUUUUGUUGGGAAAGAAAAGCAGCAGGUUAAUACCCCGCUGUUCUGACGGUAACCAAAGAAUAAGCACCGGCUAACUUCGUG